rnacentral:rRNA from 1 species
AUCGAACGCUGGCGGCAGGCUUAACACAUGCAAGUCGAACGAGUGGCGGACGGGUGAGUAAUGCUUGGGAAUCUGGCUUAUGGAGGGGGUUAAAGACGGGAAACUGUCGCUAAUACCGCGUACCAUAGGAUGAGCCCAAGGGGGAAUAGGGAGUGGGUGGGGGAAUGGGCUACCAAGCCGACGAUGUCUAGCUGGUCUGAGAGGAUGACCGGCCACAACGGGACUGAGACACGGCCCGGACUACUUCGGGAGGAAGCAGUGGGGAAUAUUGGGAAAUGGGGGCAACCUGACGCAGCGAUGCCGCGUGAAUGAAGAAGGCUUUCGGGGUGUAAAGUUCUUGCGGUGGCGAGGCGUUAAUUACAGAAGAAGCACCGGCUAACUACGUGCCAGCCGCCGCGGUAAUUC